AUGAAGACAGUAACAUUCCUCUCAUCAUUUUCUCCAGAACUUUGGUGCUUUGAGUCAAAGGUUGACAUAAAGCUUUCAAAACAAAUGCGUGUUUGCACCUCCGCCUCGGGGCCGCAGGAACCUGGACUCAGGGACUAUUUAGACAACACUGAGUUGGAGGAGAAGACUACCAACUGCUCUGGAUUGAUGACACCGUUUGGGCGUAAAAUGGGCAGAAGGAGGAUGGUAGGAAGAAAAGCAGGAGAGAUGUUGCUGCCUCUUCUCAGAGGUAACACGAGCUGCCUAAACCUCUGCUGA
rnacentral:lncRNA from 1 species